UCUGACCUCCUAGUGACUAAGGCA
rnacentral:piRNA from 1 species